AGCGAACGCUGGCGGCAGGCUUAACACAUGCAAGUCGAACGGUCCUUCGGGAUAGUGGCGGACGGGUGAGUAACACGUGGGAACGUACCCUUAGGUUCGGAACAACACAGGGAAACUUGUUCUAAUACCGGAUAAGCCCUUCGGGGGAAAGAUUUAUCGCCUUUGGAGCGGCCCGCGUCUGAUUAGCUUGUUGGUGAGGUAAUGGCUCACCAAGGCUACGAUCAGUAGCUGGUCUGAGAGGAUGGCCAGCCACACUGGGACUGAGACACGGCCCAGACUCCUACGGGAGGCAGCAGUGGGGAAUCUUGCGCAAUGGGCGAAAGCCUGACGCAGCCAUGCCGCGUGGAUGAUGAAGGUCUUAGGAUUGUGAAAUCCUUUCACCGGGGACGAUAAUGACGGUACCCGGAGAAGAAGCCCCGGCUAACUUCGUGCCAGCCGCCGCUGUAA
rnacentral:rRNA from 1 species